rnacentral:rRNA from 1 species
CACCGCGGCUAUACGAGAGGCCCAAGUUGUUAUCUUCCGGCGUAAAGAGUGGUUAUGGGUACUUAAAAUUAAAGCCGCACACCUUCAAAGCUGUUAUACGCACCCGAAGUCUAGAAGCCCAAUUACAAAAGUAGCUUUAUCACCCCAGACCCCACGAAAGCUCUGGCA